rnacentral:rRNA from 1 species
AUAAUGGGUCAGCGACUUAUAUUCUGUAGCAAGGUUAACCGAAUAGGGGAGCCGAAGGGAAACCGAGUCUUAACUGGGCGUUAAGUUGCAGGGUAUAGACCCGAAACCCGGUGAUCUAGCCAUGGGCAGGUUGAAGGUUGGGUAACACUAACUGGAGGACCGAACCGACUAAUGUUGAAAAAUUAGCGGAUGACUUGUGGCUGGGGGUGAAAGGCCAAUCAAACCGGGAGAUAGCUGGUUCUCCCCGAAAGCUAUUUAGGUAGCGCCUCGUGAAUUCAUCUCCGGGGGUAGAGCACUGUUUCGGCAAGGGGGUCAUCCCGACUUACCAACCCGAUGCAAACUGCGAAUACCGGAGAAUGUUAUCACGGGAGACACACGGCGGGUGCUAACGUCCGUCGUGAAGAGGGAAACAACCCAGACCGCCAGCUAAGGUCCCAAAGUCAUGGUUAAGUGGGAAACGAUGUGGGAAGGCCCAGACAGCCAGGAUGUUGGCUUAGAAGCAGCCAUCAUUUAAAGAAAGCGUAAUAGCUCACUGGUCGAGUCGGCCUGCGCGGAAGAUGUAACGGGGCUAAACCAUGCACCGGAGCUGCGGCAGCGACGCUGAUGCGUUGUUGGGUAGGGGAGCGUUCUGUAAGCCUGCGAAGGUGUGCUGUGAGGCAUGCUGGAGGUAUCAGAAGUGCGAAUGCUGACAUAAGUAACGAUAAAGCGGGUGAAAAGCCCGCUCGCCGGAAGACCAAGGGUUCCUGUCCAACGUUAAUCGGGGCAGGGUGAGUCGACCCCUAAGGCGAGGCCGAAAGGCGUAGUCGAUGGGAAACAGGUUAAUAUUCCUGUACUUGGUGUUACUGCGAAGGGGGGACGGAGAAGGCUAUGUUGGCCGGGCGACGGUUGUCCCGGUUUAAGCGUGUAGGCUGGUUUUCCAGGCAAAUCCGGAAAAUCAAGGCUGAGGCGUGAUGACGAGGCACUACGGUGCUGAAGCAACAAAUGCCCUGCUUCCAGGAAAAGCCUCUAAGCAUCAGGUAACAUCAAAUCGUACCCCAAACCGACACAGGUGGUCAGGUAGAGAAUACCAAGGCGCUUGAGAGAACUCGGGUGAAGGAACUAGGCAAAAUGGUGCCGUAACUUCGGGAGAAGGCACGCUGAUAUGUAGGUGAAGUCCCUCGCGGAUGGAGCUGAAAUCAGUCGAAGAUACCAGCUGGCUGCAACUGUUUAUUAAAAACACAGCACUGUGCAAACACGAAAGUGGACGUAUACGGUGUGACGCCUGCCCGGUGCCGGAAGGUUAAUUGAUGGGGUUAGCGCAAGCGAAGCUCUUGAUCGAAGCCCCGGUAAACGGCGGCCGUAACUAUAACGGUCCUAAGGUAGCGAAAUUCCUUGUCGGGUAAGUUCCGACCUGCACGAAUGGCGUAAUGAUGGCCAGGCUGUCUCCACCCGAGACUCAGUGAAAUUGAACUCGCUGUGAAGAUGCAGUGUACCCGCGGCAAGACGGAAAGACCCCGUGAACCUUUACUAUAGCU